rnacentral:rRNA from 1 species
AUUGAACGCUGGCGGCAGGCCUAACACAUGCAAGUCGAGCGGAGCGGCGGACGCGUGCGUGAUGCCUAGGAAUCUGCCUGGUCGUGGGGGAUAACGUUCGGAAACGGGCGCUAAUACCGCAUACUCUUAGCUGAGCAUGGGUCGGAUUAGCUAGUGGGUGGGGUAAAGGCUUACCAAGGCGACGAUCCUUAACUGGUCUGAGAGGAUGAUCAUUCACACUGGAACUGAGACACGGUCCAGACUCCUACGGGAGGCAGCAGUGGGGAAUAUUGGACAAUGGGCGAAAGCCUGAUCCAGCCAUGCCGCGUGUAUGAAGAAGGUCUUCGGAUUGUAAAGCACUUUAAGUUGGGAGGCGUUACCAACAGAAUAAGCACCGGCUAACUUCGUGCCAGCCGCCGCGGUAAUUC